GCUGAAAGUUCGUAACAACGUCUACUAUUCGUUUCCGGUUUAUGUGGUAGCUUAACAUCGUUCUUCAUUUUUCCUUAUACAUCCGUUUGUGUGCGAUAAGUAUAGGCACGUAAGUCGUUCGUUUGUACUAGGUUAUAUCAUUUUUUACAUGAUACACGAUGCAAUAACACAAGACUCAAUGAACAUUACAAGUUUUAUGACUAUAAUGAUACCGGAAGUUCUGUAGUUUUCGUUAUCAAUACGUAUAUUCAGAGUUCACAGAAAUGGCGACCGCCGUACCAUCAAGAUUCGCAGUUCUCAGCAUUGAUGAUGAUGAUUGUAAGCCGAAGAAAACCCAGAAGAAUGUUACUGCCGGUAAGACGAAUCAAAAAUCUAAAACCGACAAAUCGAAACAACAGCAGCAACCAAAAAAGGAUGACAAGAAAAAACAAAAUAAGGGAAAAAAGAAAAAAACUAGUAGCAAUGAAAAUCAACAAUGGGAACAAUGGAAACAGAAAGAUACAAUGGCUGUCGAGGAAACGUUUGAGCAAGAAUUACAUCAAGCCAUCUUGCUGUCAAAGCUGGCUUAUGAAGAGCAGCUAGUAAGUGCAGUCAAGUCAGAAAAAGAGCAAGAGUCAAAUAAGAAAUCAGGGAAAAAAUCAAAAAAGGCUACUAUGUCAUUGGAGCAGUUCAACAAUAUGGGAUUAGAAACUACUUCUACUACAACCACUACCAUUACCACUACCACUACUCAAAACACAGUAUUACCUCCAGAAAAUGGUGAUACUAAAUCCAAAGAAUUAGACACAGAAUUUUUUGAAAGAAUUGAAAAGGAGACGAAAGAAGAAAUCACAAAGGAAAAAGAAAAGGAUAUAUUGAAGGCGAGACUAAAUAAAAUCGAUGAUGAUAUUACAUCUGCUCAGUUAAGGGUAGAAGUGGAAAAACGUGAUGAAAUCAUUAAUGAAUUACGGAGUCAAGUAGAAAGCUUAAAAAAGGAAUUAACACAAGUUAAAGAAAGGAAUAAAAAGCUUUACCAAAUACUAUCUCAUGGAGAAAUGAAAGAUAAAGCGUCAGUAUUAGCUGAAGUAGCAAAAUUACAAGAAAUACGAGAUGAGUUGACGUCCGAAGUAGCAUCCUUACAUGCACAAUUAGAACAAGAGAGGUCCAAAACACGUACUUCUAGUACAGAUGUCAAACCAUCUAAACAAACUAAUAAGAAGAGGCCCGUUAAUGAAAAUGCCUAAACUACAGACUAUUUUUGUUGAAUGCAAAGUACUAAACCAUUGUGAUCUAUAAAGCUUAAUUUACUGCUAAUGACUAAUCAGUUAACAGUCUCAAGACUGAUGCGUAAUCAUUAAAACUUAAGAUCUCAUGAAAAUGUAUCACGUAUUUGACUUUGAAGCAUAUAAAGCAAUCUUUUAAGUAACGUAUUUUUCAAACAUACAGAAGUUCACUCAAUGAAAAUAGGGUCAUAUUUUUCUAAAUAGUAGUUGAACAUAACUUUGCAGUCCAGUUUAAACGGGAAACUAGUGCAACACAACUUCCAUAUUGCAACUUGACAACAUAAACAAAUAUCGUUAUCUUCCAAAUUUUGUGCGAACGUAAGUCAGUGAGUAUACAUUAUCUGAAGUAUUUUGUAAUAAAUAUAUCCUACACCAUCCUUGUUGAUGUUAAUAAUUUCCUUAAUAUUUUGUUAAAGCUAUCAGUAAAAUUAAAAUAUUUUGAUAUUGUACAUACAAUUUAGAAGUAAUAUUUUAUUCAGUGCGAACAUUUGUGGACAAAAGAUUAAAAAAGGAAUGAUCAAAUCUUUUGUUCUAUGAGACUGAAACAAAAUUAUAUACAUAAAAGAAGAAUUUCAGGUCCUAAAUGUAUAAGCCAUAUUUAUAUACAAACUAUCAUGAAUGUAUCAAAAUAACUAACGAAAAUAUAUUUUUUUCACAAAAUUA